GAGCACGUAGGUGGGUUUGUAAGUCAGUUGUGAAAGCCUUCUGCUUAACGGAAGAACAGCAGCUGAUACUGCAAGGCUAGAGUGCGGAAGGGGAGAGUGGAACCUCUGGUGGAGCGGUGAAAUGCGUAGAUAUCAGAAGGAACACCGGCGGCGAAAGCGGCUCUCUGGCCCAUAACUGACGCUGAGUGUGCGAAAGCUAGGGGAGCAAACGGGAUUAGAUACCCCGGUAGUCCUAGCCGUAAACGAUGGGCACUAAGUAGAGGGGUUUU
rnacentral:rRNA from 1 species